CAAAGACCACCAAUAUAUGCACUUCUUUCAUUUUUUUGAAGGGUUUUUUUCUGAAGAAAUUGGUAAAGCUUGUGCUUGCACAGGCCUAUGAUGCUGAGAAACCUGUCAGAGCCACCUCAUUGCCCUGUGCCACCUCCUGCGUGUUUAAGGAUGGAGUCAUUGUUCUGAAACACUAUCCUUUGGAAGGACAGCAGCAAGCAAUCCCUGACCCUUUAACCACGGCAGUUCUCGGGCUGUCAGGCACUGGAGCAGUGUCCGCUGCAGAGCCCGUUCUCCUCGGUGGAUGGGUGCCAGCUGUGUUGCACAAGGUUUUCACCAGUUUGGAGAAGUACACAGGAAACAAAACUCAUGUGAGAACAGUACUGGAAAACCUCAGGUCCUGUCCUCAACUGCUACUUUGUGCAUGAAGCAGGCAUCAUGCUGAACAUGAGCUACUCUUCCUCCUUCCCUGCCAGCUGAGGAGCCACAUCUGGCCACUGGAAGGAGACAACAAGAAGUCCCCCACUGCAUUGCUGGCUGUGGUAACUGCAGAGCUGGACAGGACAAAAUACUCCACCCUAGCAGGAAGAAGUAUAUUCCAUGAAGAGACAGCCAGUUUGACUAGGAGCAUCCCUG